rnacentral:lncRNA from 1 species
UCACUUUUUUCUGAAGCUCAGGAUCAAUCCUUUCUUCUUUAUCUUCCCUAUUUCCCCUUUGAACUUAGCAUUGAUUGAAAAACAUGAAAAUCGAUAGGUAGAUGCUUAGAUACUACCAUGGGAAAGCACCACCAUGAAGCAAAGCUUACCCUGUUGGCAAGUAAAGUUUUUUUUUUUUUUUUGCUUUCUUUAAUUUAUUCAGAGAGAAAAAAUGAAAUUUAUCCUCUUAUUUUCAUAUUAACUCUCCCUCAUACAUGACACACACACACACACACACACGUGCGCGCACACAUAACUAGAGGACUUUGAUCUAGCAUGUGUAGUCAUUUCUGAUGUGUGAAAGAUGACAGUGACCAAUGAAGCAACAUUGAAUUUGGCCAGCCUUUGAAACCUAUCGAUUUCAAAUUAGAGCAGCAGUAUUCAUUCUAUUAGUGCAGUCACACUCAAAACUUGGUCUCUAAUAUGGAUUAAAGGUGUUCAAUUAGAAGUUUAUAAAUUUGUUGUUCAGUCGCUAAGUCAUGUCUGACUCUUUGGGACACCAUGAACUGCAACAAGCCAGGCUUCCUUGUCCUUCAGUAUCUCUCAGAGUUUGCUCAAACUCAUAUCCACUGAGUUGGUGAUGCCAUCCAACCAUAUCAUCCCCUGUCGCCCCCUUCUCCUGCCCUCAAUCUUUCCCAACAUCAGGGUCUUUUUAUAAGUAUACCCUUGAAAAAUGUACUAGGAAAAUGAUGCUCCUGGAAGAAACAGUGUGGGAGGUGAGAGUGAUUUCCCAGCGAUUGCUUCGGCCGGUACAACCAGAGAACAGGAUUCUUUUCUUUUUGGCUGCUAAAUGCCUCUGUAUUCCACACUUUCCAGUGAGGGGAGAAGGCUGGAGCUUCUUGGAUGAUGAUGGAUAUUCCGCUGGGCAGGAUGAGGGCAGAGUGUGUGACAUCAACACCACAAGGGUAAGAGCUGCCUGUCUGGUGUUUUCUCUGAUGCCAGCAUUUACCAAAGGAAGGGGAGAAAAACCUAGUGACAGAAAUGAGGGUUAA